CCUCAAGGGAGCAUCCCGGCUUCUGCAGACGUUCACACAGGUGCCCUCAUGCCCGGCCUUCCAAGCACAGGCAUGUAGGGGAUUUCUCACAAACGCUUUCUUUGAGUUUUCAGUGUAGACUCACCACUCACUUUUGGAAGCAUCCCAAAUUGAAGAAUAAGGGUCUGAGCCCCGUUCUUUGCCUCUGCACAGGUGUCUACCUUAAAGUUGAGGGGAUACACUGACAUCCUAUUCAAUCGGCAAGAAAUUGCUCUCUUGUCAUAGAAGGUAAGUCCUCUACCUGCGAUCCUUGGUUAAGUGCUUUUAUUUGUCUCUGGACACCGCGUGGUCUUUUAAAAGGUUUCCUGGUCUUGGCUGCUGGAAAAGCCUUCUCUUCUCCAGCCAACGUAUUCCCCGGCCUGGAAGCAGACCUCAGGUGGGGCCCUGGAGGCAGCAAGAGAAGCUGGGCUGAGUGGAGACUCACACCACAGAGGAUUCUGUAAGCCAGCCGGUAAACUUCCCAAAGGAUCAUUUGUUGCUUAAAGCCACCAGUUAUGUUCUGCCUCUCGCAAAAAAAGAAAAAAAUGUCGCGGUGGAGAAGGUGUUAGCGGUAGAAGCAGGGUUCAGGACCCGGACUCCAGGACUGAUGACCCUACCCGAGCUUCAGGGACCCCGGUCUUACUGGCUGGGAGAAGGCAAGCCCUCAGAUGUUUGCGCUGUGGGCGACCAGAUGGACGAUCCAAAGGCCGGUGGCUGUGUCCCCGGGGCAGGUCACUGCGAAGCCGCCCCCUUUGCAAAGGCGGAGCCCGCCUUCAUGCAGCCACCCUUCGGGACCCCGACACUUUGUGGGACACGGUUUUCAAGCCCCUGGAUAGUCUCUCAACUCCAUUUCAGCUUCAAAAUAAUAUGAUCAUACACAUCCUUGGAACGACUGGUUUCUGCGCCCACGAGAAUCAUAUCCUAGUGAAGCUCUAGACUCUAUGAGGCUGCAUGAUUCCAGCCUCUCUGCCUGUUUGACUGGGGGAUACACUUUUCCCACCUGCGACAGUCACUUCUUUCUUGUGCUGGGGGCAAAGCCGCAGGGAAUCUUCCAGCUGAGCCUGUCCCUCCGCCUCCUCCACCGCCCUGAGGACAAGAAGACCCCUGACCUCGGCAUUGAUUCUUGGAUCAGGCCUCUUCUUCAUGUUCUAGAAACAAAACUGCAUGAAACAAGCGACCCUCAUCAUGUGUGUCUCUUGAGAACGUCUCUUGCACUAGCCGAUCCAUUUCUGUCUCUCCGCCUCUGGCUCAUCCCAAUCCAUCACCUCCCCCUCCAUGGUAGAGAGAAAACAUCUGGAAGGGAGUCACAAAGAGCUCAGCGACGGGGGCAGAAGCGUGAUGCUUUCGCUCUGUGGCGACGAAUGCCCAGCCCUGUGAUGAAUCCCCCUCUUGGCCCAGCGCUGACGUGAGGCUCCCGCAUAGACGAAUUCACAGCCACAGACUCACGGACCUGCCCCUUCGGGCUGCAGACCAGAGAUGCGUCUGAUUUGUGUGUUUGCUGAAGCUUAAGUGGGCAGGUUCUUUCCUCUACCUUCUGAACAGCCAGGGAGGAACCCACCAACUCACAAGAGAGAGAAAAAUCCACCCCAAUAGCAAGUGUGGUCUUUCUUCACACCCCUCCUAUCGCUUCAGCCUCCGAGGUGCUGUUUGGAAGGGUGUAUGGAUUACAUUUGGGAAGCUUUCCAAACUGUCUCCACAAAGAAAAGAAAGAAGGAAAAGAUAACCAGCCAUAUUAGGCCGGCCAUAUUAACAAGCAAACCGCUUUUCCUCUAGUGAACCACAGAGUGUCUGUGGUGAGCAGGGAAGGAGCCUAUGUUCCGGGGUUUUCUCACAGAGGGUUAGGUUUCCGGUCUAUUUUCCUGGAUCUAAUCACUCACGUGUCCCUACCGCUGGCUGCGUGUGCAACCAAAGUUCUCAUCAGUUUGCUGGCUUAACAAGGAGUGGAUGUGAGCGAUGGGAGGGUCUCCCCAGAUGCCAUGCGUUUUUGUUCGCCCCCAUUCCUAAACGUGGUAAUAAAGUGCAAUACCAAUAACUAAUUAAAAAGUCC
ensembl:lncRNA